UACGGAGGGUGCAAGCGUUGUUCGGAAUUACUGGGCGUAAAGCGCGUGCAGGCGGCCUAUUAAGUCAGAUGUGAAAGCCCUCGGCUCAACCAAGGAACUGCAUUUGAAACUAGUAGGCUUGAGUACGGGAGAGGAGAGUGGAAUUCCCGGUGUAGAGGUGAAAUUCGUAGAUAUCGGGAAGAACACCGGUGGCGAAGGCGGCUACUCUGGACCGAUACUGACGCUGAGACGCGAAAGCGUGGGGAGCAAACAGGAUUAGAUACCCGGUGUA
rnacentral:rRNA from 1 species